rnacentral:rRNA from 1 species
UACGUAGGGUGCGAGCGUUGCCCGGAUUUAUUGGGCGUAAAGGGCUCGUAGGCGGCCAACUAAGUCCGACGUGAAAUCCCCAGGCUUAACCUGGGAACUGCGUCGGAUACUGGUUGGCUUGAAUCCGGGAGAGGGAUGCGGAAUUCCAGGUGUAGAGGUGAAAUUCGUAGAUAUCGGGAGGAACACCAGUGGCGAAGGCGGCGACCUGGGCCAAUACUGACGCUGAGGUGCGAAAGCGUGGGGAGCAAACAGG